rnacentral:rRNA from 1 species
UACCAGCACCCCGAGUGGUCGGGACGUUUAUUGGGCCUAAAGCAUCCGUAGCCGGUUCUACGAGUCUUCCGUUAGAUCCAACUGCUUAACAGGUGGGCUGCGGAAGAUACUAUAGAGCUAGGAGGCGGGAGAGGCAAGCGGUACUCGAUGGGUAGGGGUAAAAUCCGUUGAUCCAUUGAAGACCACCAGUGGCGAAGGCGGCUUGCCAGAACGCGCUCGACGGUGAGGGAUGAAAGCUGGGGGAGCAAACCGG